CUCCUACGGGAGGCAGCAGUGAGGGAUAUUGGGCAAUGGGGGAAACCUGACCCAGCAACGCCGCGUGAGGGAUGACGGUUUUCGGAUUGUAAACCUCUGUCCUCUGUGAAGAUAGUGACGGUAGCAGAGGAGGAAGCUCCGGCUAACUACGUGCCAGCAGCCGCGGUAAUACGUAGGGAGCAAGCGUUGUCCGGAUUUACUGGGUGUAAAGGGUGCGUAGGCGGAUUGGCAAGUCAGAAGUGAAAUCCAUGGGCUUAACCCAUGAACUGCUUUUGAAACUGUUAGUCUUGAGUGAAGUAGAGGUAGGCGGAAUUCCCGGUGUAGCGGUGAAAUGCGUAGAGAUCGGGAGGAACACCAGUGGCGAAGGCGGCCUACUGGGCUUUAACUGACGCUGAGGCACGAAAGUGUGGGUAGCAAACAGGAUUAGAUACCCUGGUAGUCCACACUGUAAACGAUGAUUACUAGGUGUGGGGGGUCUAACCCCCUCCGUGCCGGAGUUAACACAAUAAGUAAUCCACCUGGGGAGUACGACCGCAAGGUUGAAACUCAAAGGAAUUGACGGGGGCCCGCACAAGCAGUGGAGUAUGUGGUUUAAUUCGACGCAACGCGAAGAACCUUACCAGGUCUUGACAUCCAACUAACGAAGCAGAGAUGCAUUAGGUGCCCUUCGGGGAAAGUUGAGACAGGUGGUGCAUGGUUGUCGUCAGCUCGUGUCGUGAGAUGUUGGGUUAAGUCCCGCAACGAGCGCAACCCUUGUGAUUAGUUGCUACGCAAGAGCACUCUAAUCAGACUGCCGUUGACAAAACGGAGGAAGGUGGGGACGACGUCAAAUCAUCAUGCCCUUUAUGACUUGGGCUACACACGUACUACAAUGGUCGUUAACAGAGGGAAGCAAUACCGCGAGGUGGAGCAAAACCCUAAAAACGGUCUCAGUUCAGAUUGUAGGCUGCAACUCGCCUACAUGAAGUUGGAAUUGCUAGUAAUCGCGGAUCAGCAUGCCGCGGUGAAUACGUUCCCGGGCCUUGUACACACCGC
rnacentral:rRNA from 1 species